rnacentral:rRNA from 1 species
CCUACGGGAGGCUGCAGUGGGGAAUAUUGCGCAAUGGGCGAAAGCCUGACGCAGCGACGCCGCGUGGGUGAUGAAGGCCUUCGGGUUGUAAAGCCCUGUCGGGUGGAACGAACGAUCUGGCGGCGAAUAACCGCCGGGUGUGACGGUACCACCGAAGGAAGCCCCGGCUAACUACGUGCCAGCAGCCGCGGUAAGACGUAGGGGGCGAGCGUUGUUCGGACUUACGGGGCGGACUGCGCGCGUCGGUGGUUACUUCCCUCGGCUUCACCGCGGUCCCGCAUCCGAUACUGUCUGGCUCGAGUCUAGGAGAGGAAAGCGGAAUUCCCAGUGUAGCGGUGAAAUGCGUAGAUAUUGGGAGGAACACCGGUGGCGAAGGCGGCUUUCCGGACUAGUACUGACGCUGAGGCGCGAAAGCUAGGGGAGCGAACGGGAUUAGAUACCCUAGUAGUC